AGUAGCUCAGGUCCCAGUCACUCUCUCUGGUGUCUACUCCAGCUGCCAUUGGAAAUGCCAAUCCCCUGGGUUUUCCUUUUGUCUUUGGCUUGGGUUUAUGGAGACUCCUGGAUAUCUCAGAAUCAGCUGUCCAUUACCCGAACACCAAACAAGACCGUGCACAUAAGCUGCAAGCUCUCUGGGGUCCCCCUGAAGAACACCAUUGUGCACUGGUACCAACUGAAAGAAGGUGAGCCCCUGAAACGAAUCUUCUAUGGCUCAGCUAAAAAUUACAAGCAAGACAAGCCCAACUCCCGUUUGGAGGCAGACGAGAACGACGGCACCUUCAACCUGAUAAUCAACAAUGUUAUCACAGCAGACGAAGCCACAUACUACUGUGCGUGCUGGGAUCUCACAGUGUCUCAUUAUCUGUAG